UGGCACUGUUCUAGGGCAGUGUGCUUCCCUUUUUGCCUCUGCUUCUUUUUGGUUAUUUCAACUUUGACCUUCAACAUUUUUGUCUGGUUUCUUAUCUUUCCUACUUUCUGCAGUGAUUCCUUUUCACUGCUUUUGGUCCCUUUUUUUUUCCCAUUUCUUUUGCUUCUCUUCUUUCGUAGCCGUCUGCUCUCUCCUCUCUUUGCCUUGUUGGUCUCAAAGUGGAUAGUUUUGUGGGGAUUCGGGUUUUUAUUUUUCUGGAACUUUUGUCUGCAGCUUUGGAAGACAUUUGUGCUUAAGGACGCCGUUUUGCAAGUUCUCUUUCCAUGGGGACCACUACAUUUUAUAAGUGAUGAGGGUGAGGUUUAGAUACUCAAAACACUCCAUUUUUUUCCUUCCAAAUAUGCGCGUUUGGUUCUCUUCGGUUUUAAAUGUUUAAAAUUAAAUGGUUAUUUUGAUAAAAUGGUUUAUUAGUUUAUCUUAUGUGUUGUGAUCAGGAAUUCAAUUGGAUUGGGUAAAAUGCUUUAUCAAUUUACGUUAUAGGGAA